rnacentral:rRNA from 1 species
GUCUAGGGCCAUACCACCCUGAGUGCGCCUGAUCUUGGAAGCUAAGCAGGGUCACUGAGUUAGACAAGGCUGUGGUCC